UUACGUAAGUGUAUUUAAAGUUAUACAAAUCAUGUAAAGUAACAUAGAUUCAUACAGAGUUUCACGAAACACAGGCAAGAUGUUCCAUACAUUCACUGCUGUCUUUGUCUUAGUGUUUAUAAGUGUUUCCAUGGCAAGUAAUUGCAAACAAUGUACAGCCGAAGGGAAGCAACGUACUGGAAAUUCAAGUUUUCUUUUUCAAGACGGCUGUUGGGAAUAUAGUUGCUUUUGUAACUGCGAUGGUAGUUGGAAUUGCCCUACUGAGGAUGCAAAGGAAAUCUGUUGGGGUGGACACUUGUUUUCUACAUGCGGACAUUGUCAAGUAAAAGGAUUUAUGUACAGGGGAAACAGUCAAUUUACAUAUAUUGAUGACUGUGACCGUUUUUUCUGUACAUGCAAUUGUGAUGGAAGUUGGAGUUGUCCGUCUAAACAGAAAUACUGUCUUAGCUACAAUGGUUAAAUGACUUUUUUUUAAUUUGAUCUUUUUUGUUUUGCCUUAAUCAAAGUAUUAAAAGCUUACAGAGCCAGGAACCUGUACUUUAUUUGUUUCCGUGCGUAGCGCGGUAUAUUAAAUUUGGUUUAUA